rnacentral:rRNA from 1 species
CCUACGGGUGGCAGCAGUGAGGAAUAUUGGUCAAUGGACGAGAGUCUGAACCAGCCAAGUAGCGUGAAGGAUGACUGCUCUAUGGGUUGUAAACUUCUUUUAUAAAGGAAUAAAACGAGGCACGUGUGCCUUUUUGCACGUACUUUAUGAAUAAGGAUCGGCUAACUCCGUGCCAGCAGCCGCGGUAAUACGGAGGAUCCGAGCGUUAUCCGGAUUUAUUGGGUUGAAAGGGAGCGUAGAUGGGUUGUUAAGUCAGUUGUGAAAGUUUGGGGCUCAACCGUAAAAUUGCAAUUGAUACUGGCAGUCUAGAGUGCAGAUGAGGUAGGCGGAAUUCGUGGUGUAGCGGUGAAAUGCUUAGAUAUCACGAAGAACACCGAUUGCGAAGGCAGCUUACUAAACUGUGACUGACAUUGAUGCUCGAAAGUGUGGGGAUCAAACAGGAUUAGAUACCCCUGUAGUC